CGGACCCUCUGUGAGGCUGCCUGUGUGGAGAGAGAUAGGCUCCUAGAGCUAUUAAAGCUUCAGCAAUCCAGGAGCGGGAGGCAGGGGGAAUCAUCCUCUCGAAGCCCUGAACUAACUACCCAGCUGGCGGUGCUGCAGGGGAGAACGAGGCUCUGAGUGGCUGAGCUGAGGUGCACUCUCCAGGCCAAGGCUGAGGACCUGCAGCUCUGCAGUGACAUGAUGAACCAAGUCAAGCACGUCUUCCUGCAGGCGCUGCGACAACACAAGUAGGACAGGGACACAAACCAGGGGAGUUAGUUAGCUAGCUAUAUUAUAAUAGGCCCUGGCUGGCUGCUGGACUUCAACAACGUCCAGUCAUAUCAGCUCUGAGGAAGAACAUGAGUGGAGCAGGCCUGUCUGUACAAUUACCAGUCAUUACUGGUUCCUGGUCUCCUGACUGCUCCCUGCUAACCCUGUUCACCCCGAAAAGAUAAUUACCUCCUUUGAUGGCCCCCAUGUAGUGAAUAUGAGCAAGCCAAUCAAAGCCAACUAGCCAAUCAAAGCCAACUAGGCCCCUGAGGACCAAAAGGCUUAUCAACCUUGACAUGAAGAUGUCACAGAGUGGCUCCUA